CUGUCAUAAUUUUCUAAUUUCUAGUUCUAAUUAGAUACUCCUGUUCUAGACUUAAAAACUAACUUGUUUAGGUUAGCUUUUGGUAAUUACAUUUUUUUUUCUCUUUAGGUAAGGCUGCAGAUCCAGAAGUUCAUGGACAGAGGGAAUUGUGUUAAACUGAGAUGCUGGUGCUGUUGUUCGCCCACUGCUCACAAUCACUCAGAAAUUAACACACUACAGGAAGCAGAAGGGGGCAGAAAUUGAGACUCUCACCACUGCAGGGAUGUUGACAGUCCGGAUGAGGUCAUCCUCUGAGCCUCGUGACAUGUUAGGCUCAAACACGUAGGUUUUAGGAUUGACUGCAGCUACUUUGGUACCGUUCUCCAUAAAGGUCACAUUCUCCAUUGGCCGAUACUCUCUUUAAAAGGAGGAAGUGAAAAUAGUGAAGUACAUUUCGUGAUUAUCUUUAACUAAUACAACAGCUUUAGAAACAUUUAUGAGGUUUUAUGGUUGGCUAGAGAUGUGAUAUUUGACAGAACAUGACAUUGGGUGUAGCCUGAGCAGUCAAAAAACUGAAUUAUGCUCAUACUUUCCGAAAUAAUAAAGCAAAUGUGUUUUCCACAACAGAUAAAACACUUUCAUCUUACUCUCUUGAAUAAAUGGAAAUACAUAGAUGGCACACUAAUAUGGAUGGAGAUAAGUGUGAUUAAGUGAUUAGAUAAGGAAUGAACAAAUCUUGAUAUAAAUGGAGAUGUCUUUGGAUGGGGAUGGAAGAAGAUAUGGUUAAGAAUAUUUACAUUGACAUUGCAACACUGAAGAAGCAUAGAUCUCUUAUUUAAGAACAAUGUUUCUUAAGAACAGAUCUAUGAAAGAUUAAAACAUGAACAAAGUGAACAAUGAUCCACAGGGCUAAACAUCUGUAAAUUAGGCUACAAUAAUUAUGUCUGAAUGACUUCUAAUAUAAUUUAGCAUGGUUAAAGAAUAAAUACACUUUCUAAA